GGUGGCUGAGGACCAACUCCACAUGUCAAGACGUUGGCUUGGUCAUGAACACAGAAAGGAGCAGCCCCUAGUGUACAUAUUUUUGAUGGUUGGAGGAAACUAGUGUGCCCUGAGGAAACCCAUGCACACACAGGGAGAACAUGCAAACUCCACACAGAAAUGAACUAGCCAUGGAAUCGAACCUCAGACUUUCCUGCUCUGAGGCAAGAGUGCUAUCCACUGAUCCACCGUGCUGCCUGCACUUCACUUUUUCCACAUUUUGUUAUGUUAC